rnacentral:lncRNA from 1 species
UUAGACUAUAAACAGUCAUGCACUUGGCUUUUUUGCAUCAAUAUCCAAAUAUUAGGUAUUUUAUGAAUUUAUGGUCGAUCAAAGUUCCAGCAUGUAACAUGCUUUCACUUGUAGUUAUCUGAGGGCUUACUAUGAGGAAUCUUAUUAGAGGCAUUUCAAUUCCUAGUAUCUUGUAUUUCAAAUUUCAAGAGCAAGUAAGAUAAUUUUAAUGUUUGGAUGUAAGCAACGGUAUAUUUCACAUGUAUCUUAUUAGAGGCUUAUUGUGAAGAUUUAUCCUUCCUCGUUAAUGGAUCCCAAUUAUAUUUCAUGUGUGUCUUUCACAAGUUUCUUUUAUACAUUCUAUGAUUUCAUGUUUAUA